AGUGUGACAAGCAAGUGAUGGGAAAGCAGGCAAAAUCGCAGCUUGGCAAGCUGAGUAUGUGAACAGACAUAAAUGGAAUUUGAGUAAAUUGUCACAGGAACCAGAGAAAAUCCAGUUCAUCAGGUCAUUUUGCAUCCCAAAGUUAGGACAUAUUAUGUGUGUGGUGCAAGUGGAAAUAGAGACUACUGCUGUCACCUCUGACAAACAAUGAGUCUUCGGCAACACAGACAGAUGAUUUCUUUAGUAGAGACAUGGCAGAAAGUUUUGUUUUCCAGAUUUACCCAGAGCCCUGAGUGAAAGAUUCAUUGUCUUUGAAUAUGGCCUGCUUAGAAACCUUUCUUCAUUCUAUGCCACAUCAGGGUUACAUAUCUCACUGGGGAAGAUAAAGAGCGGCUCCAAACGGAUGUUGGUCGGGAAGGGGGAAAUCUUUUGUUCCCAAAUUCCUUUCAAAUUCCUGGAUGAAAGCCACUCUGUCCUGGUGUGCAAAUGUAAGCCAGAGAAAAGGGGAAAAAACAAACCUAGCAAAAGUUUCUGGAUUUAAGGCUGGCAGCUGGCAGCUGGCAAAAUUGCACACCCAAAGGCAUGAUUGCAAUGUGAUAUGUGUAAUAUGCAAAUAUCUGUAUUUGCAUCAUUGCUCCACAUUACAAUCUUAUAUGUCUCCACUGAGAUGUAAUUCCUAUUGAAUUCAAGCGCAGAUUGUGCGUUUGUGUACAUGGAAAGAGGGGGAAAGAUGAUGAGAAGCUUUGAACUGGUAGACAAUGUUGGAAUCCUUGAAAAUUCUGUGAAUGUAACAAAGAACAGCCUCAUCUCACAGCAACAAUGGUUUGUUCAAAGUUCUCUUUUAACCCAGCUACCCACAGGGAAUAUAUAAUCUAAUGACUCCCUUAUCCCUUCUUUACAACAUUUUUGCUUGACGUACAGUAAUCAACCUUUUACUAAUCUGGGACAGUGCUCAUCUAUGCUGCUUAGAGAAACUGAUCUCAACAAGCUCUUGAAUGUAUAUUGAGUGGGAGAUUUACUUGGAUAAAACUCGUUGGAUGAAAAAGAUUCUGAGACCCAAUCUUUGCAAUAUGCUGUAACAUACAUAUGAAGUCCUACCCUGUUUCCCCUAAAAUAAGACAUCCCCAGAAAAUAAGACCUAGUAGAGGUUUUGCUGAAUUGCUAAAUAUAAGGCCUCCCCCGAAAGUAAGACCUAGCAAAGUUUUUGUUUGGAAGCAUGCCCGCCAAACAGAACACCAGAGCAUGCAGGAUCGGUAAAUGUAGGAACCAUAGAGUGUUGUACAUGGAAAUAUUGGUAGUAACAAGAAAUUCUUAAUAGGAUUCACAGUUUGUCUGGUUAUGCUGGUUUAUGAUGACAACUACUGUACAGUAUAUAAUAAAUGUUCAUUUUUUGUUCAACAAUAAAUGUGAAUUCUUCAUCAUGGAAAAAUAAGACAUCCCCUGAAAAUAAGACCUAGAGCAUCUUUGGGAGCAAAAAUUAAUAUAAGACACUGUCUUAUUUUCGGGGAAACACGGUAUUUAUUUCUAUUUACAAUACAGAAUGUGUGACCCUCCAGAUAUUGCUAGGCUAUAACUGCCUUCAUUCUUCAUAACUGGAUUGUUUCUGUUCUGUUGAAAUAAAUUGUUCACACAUGAAGUUAGUUUGUUUUUUUCUCUGUAUUGAACAGCAAUAAGAGACCAGAAACAUGAACUUAAAUAUAUAUUUUUAUUAGAGAAGGUAUCUAAAAUACAAUAUUAAUUUCUUAUUUAAAUUAUGACAUUAUUUUAAUGGUACAAUAUUCUGUAUUAUAUCUAUGGUAUCAACAAUUUUUACACACAACAGUACUUAAUUUAGCUCAGCUGACAUUUUGUAAUUUGAAAAAAAAUGCUAACAUUAAGACAUGGUUCAGAUUUAUGGCUAAAAUGUAAAACAAGUAAAAUAUUUACACUUCAAACUUUUUAAAAGCUAAGACAUUUGAUCUUCAAUACUAAUGUUGCAUUUAAUGCCUAUUUUUUUUAUAAAAGGUAUUACCUUAAAUCAGAAACAAAAUGUCCACAUUAGAUUGCAUUCCUGUGCUUCCAUGAAAGAUUCAAGUUAUUGAGUUUACACAACAUCGUAUGUUUCUAUGAGGUUACUUUUUUAAAUGGCUUCUUUAUCUGUUUCCUAUCAUUCUAUCCCUUGACAGGCUGUCAAAGAAUGAUAUCCUAUUACAGCAUCAGCACCAAAAUCACAGCAAUUCUUAUCAAGCAUCAUCACUCUGUGCCUCUGCUCCCCUUCCUUUUACCCCUGGCAAGCACACUGAACACCCACCCACACUGCAAUAAAUUGGCCUUCUUCCUGA